rnacentral:rRNA from 1 species
AUGAACGCUGGCGGCGUGCCUAAUACAUACAAGUCGAGCGAACGGACGAGAAGCUUGCUUUUCUGAUGUUAGCGGCGGACGGGUGAGUAACACGUGGAUAACCUACCUAUAAGACUGGGAUAACUUCGGGAAACCGGAGCUAAUACCGGAUAAUAUUUUGAACCGCAUGGUUCAAAAGUGAAAGACGGUCUUGCUGUCACUUAUAGAUGGAUCCGCGCUGCAUUAGCUAGUUGGUAAGGUAACGGCUUACCAAGGCAACGAUGCAUAGCCGACCUGAGAGGGUGAUCGGCCACACUGGAACUGAGACACGGUCCAGACUCCUACGGGAGGCAGCAGUAGGGAAUCUUCCGCAAUGGGCGAAAGCCUGACGGAGCAACGCCGCGUGAGUGAUGAAGGUCUUCGGAUCGUAAAACUCUGUUAUUAGGGAAGAACAUAUGUGUAAGUAACUGUGCACAUCUUGACGGUACCUAAUCAGAAAGCCACGGCUAACUACGUG